rnacentral:tRNA from 1 species
CGCGCGUGGCCGAGCGCGUGGUAAAGCGUUCGUCUUGAAAGCGCACGUUGAGGCCAAACAGCGUCAGGCGGCGGGCAAAAUCCCGCACGCGUUG